rnacentral:rRNA from 1 species
CCUACGGGUGGCAGCAGUGAGGAAUAUUGGUCAAUGGACGAGAGUCUGAACCCGCCAAGUCGCGUGAAGGAUGACUGUCCUAUGGGUUGUCAACCUCUUUUGUCUGGGCGUAAAGUGCUCCACGUGUGUGUCUUUGUGUGUACCUUAAGAAUAAGCAUCGGCUAACUCCGUGCCAGCAGCCGCGGUAAUACGGAGGAUUCGAGCGUUAUCCGGAUUUAUUGGGUUUAAAGGUAGCGCAGGUGGAUUGUUCACGCCGGUGGUAACGUUUGCGGGUCAACCGUAGAAGAGCAGUUGAAACUGGCAGUCUAGAGUACGGUAGAGGUAGGCGGAAUGCGUGGUGUAGCGGUGAAAUGCAUAGAUAUCACGAAGAACUCCGAUUGCGAAGGCAGCACACUGGACUGCAACUGACGCUGAGGCUCGAAAGUGUGGGUAUCGAACAGGAUUAGAUACCCGGGUAGUC